ACUCCUACGGGAGGCAGCAGUGGGGAAUAUUGCACAAUGGGCGCAAGCCUGAUGCAGCCAUGCCGCGUGUAUGAAGAAGGCCUUCGGGUUGUAAAGUACUUUCAGCAGUGAGGAAGGUGGAGUCGUUAAUAGCGGCCUCAUUUGACGUUAGCUGCAGAAGAAGCACCGGCUAACUCCGUGCCAGCAGCCGCGGUAAUACGGAGGGUGCGAGCGUUAAUCGGAAUUACUGGGCGUAAAGCGCAUGCAGGUGGUUUGUUAAGUCAGAUGUGAAAGCCCGGGGCUCAACCUCGGAAUUGCAUUUGAAACUGGCAGACUAGAGUACUGUAGAGGGGGGUAGAAUUUCAGGUGUAGCGGUGAAAUGCGUAGAGAUCUGAAGGAAUACCGGUGGCGAAGGCGGCCCCCUGGACAGAUACUGACACUCAGAUGCGAAAGCGUGGGGAGCAAAC
rnacentral:rRNA from 1 species